rnacentral:snRNA from 1 species
CUCAGAAAAUCACCAAUUUUCAA